CCUAGGCUUACCAUGGCAUGUCCCUCAAAAUGAUAACAGAUAUGCAAGGUGAUUAACCCCACUGUGCAAGGAUAUUUCAAGUGGAUGAAAGUGCUAAUAUCCUAUGGCUCAAAGAAUACAUUUGCUGGCAAGAUGGCCGAAUAGGAAGAGCUCUGGUCUGCAGCUCCCAGUGAGAUCGACGCAGAAGGCAGGUGAUUUCUGCAUUUCCAAUUGAGGUACCCGGUUCAUCUCAUUGGGAUUGGUUGGACAGUGGGUGCAGCCCAUGUGGAGGGCAAGCAGAAGCAAGGUGGUGCGUCACCUCACCUGGGAAGCACAAGGGGUCGGGGGAUUUCCCUCCCAUAGCCAAGGGAAGCCAUGAGGAAUUGGGCUGGGAGGAACGGUGAACUCCAGCCCAGAUACUGCACUUUUCCCAUGGUUUUCGCAACCCACAGACCAGGAGACUCCCUCCGGUUCCUAGGCCACCAGAGCCCUGGGUUUCAAGCAUAAAACUGGGCAGCCAUUUGGGCAGACACUGAGCUAGCUCCAGGAUUUUUUUUGUUCAUAUCCCAGCGGCACCUGGAACGCUAGUGAGAUAGAACUGUUCACUCCCCUG
rnacentral:lncRNA from 1 species